rnacentral:rRNA from 1 species
GCAAAAUCAUUUGCCUCUUAAUUAGAGGCUUGUAUGAACGGGUAAACGAAAGUUAAGCUGUCUCCUAUAUGCACCUAAAAACUUCUCUUCAGGUGAAGAAUCCUGAAUUCUAAUAAAAGACAAGAAGACCCUGCGAGCUUUCUCCAACCCGGACAAAACCCUCCGGGAAGGAUGUUUAUUGGGGCAAUAAUGGAGCACAAAAAACCUCCACCACAAUCACGACAUCUAGUCUCCCAAACGACCCUACAAAGAUCAAAGGCAGAGCUACCGCAGGGAUAACAGACUAAUUUUCCUCUAGAGCCCAAAUCUACAGGAAAGUUUGG